UACGUAGGUGGCAAGCGUUGUCCGGAAUUAUUGGGCGUAAAGCGCGCGCAGGUGGUUCUUUAAGUCUGAUGUGAAAGCCCACGGCUCAACCGUGGAGGGUCAUUGGAAACUGGGGAACUUGAGUGCAGAAGAGGAAAGUGGAAUUCCAAGUGUAGCGGUGAAAUGCGUAGAGAUUUGGAGGAACACCAGUGGCGAAGGCGACUCUUUGGUCUGUAACUGACGCUGAGGCGCGAAAGCGUGGGGAGCAAACAGG
rnacentral:rRNA from 1 species